rnacentral:lncRNA from 1 species
UUUUAAGGUUUGUGCGGUGACUAGCUGGCUAUCGGUUUUCCUGUUGCGAUUUCUACCUGAUUCGUACUGAUUUAAAGUCCGCGAUAGGUUCUCGGCUUAUACGACUUGUAUGGUACGAAUCGAGCAUCUUUCCAGAGACAAUUUUUAAGCCAAUUCGAAAUGCUAGACCAAAAUUUUGGAUUUUUUUUGUAGCGCGCUUUCGUCCUUGUGUUGGACGCUUGAAGAUCAAAAGAGUGAUCAGGUUGCGUUUGUUUAAGACGGCUGAUGUGUUUGUCGGGGCCAAUCGACGAACGGAGCGUAAGAUUUGUAGUGGUCGCGUUCGGACAAUUUGUUUGUCUUAUCUCGAUUUUUAAC